GAUGGCGACCGGCGCACGGGUGAGUAACACGUAUCCAACCUGCCGAUAACUCGGGGAUAGCCUUUCGAAAGAAAGAUUAAUACCCGAUGGCAUAAUAGAACCGCAUGGUUUGAUUAUUAAAGAAUUUCGGUUAUCGAUGGGGAUGCGUUCCAUUAGGCAGUUGGUGGGGUAACGGCCCACCAAACCUCGAUGGAUAGGGGUUCUGAGAGGAAGGUCCCCCACAUUGGACUGAGACACGGCCAA
rnacentral:rRNA from 1 species